CUCUACUAUGUAGAGCGGUAGGGGAGCGUCGUCCAUGCAGUGAAGCUCGAGCGUAAGCACGGGUGGAGCGCGGAGGAGUGAGAAUGCAGACACGAGUAGCGAUAAGAGAGGUGAGAAUCCUCUCCGCCGAAAACCCAAGGUUUUUCCGGCAAUGUUCGUCAGACGGAAGUUAGGCGGGCCUAAGUCGAGGCCAGAAGGCGUAGACGAUGGAC
rnacentral:ncRNA from 1 species